AUUAGAUACCCCGGGUAGUCCAGGCUGUAAACGAUGCGGGCUAGGUGUCGCGAUAGCCAUGAGCUAUCGCGGUGCCCGAAGGGAAAGCCGUUUAACCCCGCCGCCUGGGAAGUACGNCCGCAAGGCUGAAACUUAAAGGAAUUGGCGGGGGAGCACUACAACGGGUGGAGCCUGCGGUUUAAUUGGAUUCAACGCCGGGAAGCUUACCGGGGGAGACAGCGGGAUGAAGGUCGGGCUGAAGACCCUACCAGACUAGCUGAGAGGUGGUGCAUGGCCGCCGUCAGUUCGUACUGUGAAGCAUCCUGUUAAGUCAGGCAACGAGCGAGACCCGCGCCCUCAGUUGCCAGCGGAUCGCUUUUGCGAUGCCGGGCACACUGGGGGGACUGCCGGCGCUAAGCCGGAGGAAGGUGCGGGCAACGGCAGGUCCGUAUGCCCCGAAUCCCCCGGGCUACACGCGGGCUACAAUGGCCGGGACAAUGGGUACCGACCCCGAAAGGGAUAGGUAAUCUCCUAAACCCGGUCUAACCUGGGAUCGAGGGCUGCAACUCGCCCUCGUGAACCUGGAAUCCGUAGAAU
rnacentral:rRNA from 1 species